AAGUCGUAACAAGGUUUCCGUAGGUGAACCUGCGGAAGGAUCAUUAACACGUAUCCAACGUUAAAUCCCCCCGUGAAUAUUAAGCGUGCUCUUGCAGCCCGCCAUCCAGCAAUCUCCGGUAAAUCACGUCAAACGGUUUGAUUCGGGGACUUGAGAGCGCUUAACGAACGCUGUAGGCACACACGGGCCGGCGUCUGGAUCAGAGAGCGCAAGCUCUUUCGUAACCACCAGUCAGCGUAGGCCCUUCUGUCGUGGUUGGGCAUUAAAACGACUGUUAACAAUGGAUAUCUUGGUUCUC
rnacentral:misc_RNA from 1 species